UGAGCUGGGUCCGUCUAUUCUGGGACCACCCCAGUUCUAUAAAAUGAAUCAUGACCGCCCCUAUCACCAGUUAUUCAUCAUGAUCCCAUGCUGGGAUUCAAGCUCAGGUCAGCCUGCUCCAGGGCCCACAGGAGUGUGCCUGCAUCUCCCCACCUCCCUCUGUCUUUCUAAGGAAAAUACAGAUGCUCCCUGAAAGCCUUGUUAUUUUCAGCGUUUCCCCAUCCACAGGUUUGUUUGGAUGGUCGAGAUGCCUGCCUGCCUGCCGGGCACAGGUACAUGAAACCUGAAUUCAAGCCACACGUGUAUCCUGGGGAGGACCUUUUGCUGUUUCCCUCUCACUCUGAGCGAAGCAGCAUUUUAACAGCUCCCCAGGUGAUAACUGUCUGUGGACCCUGGGGCUCACCGCGCUAGUCUUCCGAGCAUCAUUUGCAGCCGUGUGGACUCCAGAGCAGGAGGGGGCAGCAGGGAAAGGCUGGCCUAGAACACAUAUGCCACAUGUAUGACAGAGAAGGAAAGGACAGCAAUUGCACGGCCCAAGGAAAGAGAAAAACCAGCAACCAAACACGCCUAGAGAACUGAGUGGCAGGCCCAGGGCUGUUCUUGCCCAGUACAGGAAGACCCGGACAUUCCUAAUAAUUCUAGGUAAUCAACAGAGGAUUGAAAAAGACGGGGCACAGCAGAGUGGGGUGCACAGCAGACAUUCAACAUAAGAAAACCUCUUUCCCCUUCCAUUAUCCUAGGAGUGAGAAUGCAGUGUAGUGUGUACUCUUUUCCAAGCAAAAUUAUCAUCAAAAAUUGCUAAAGGAAAAAAAUAGAAGAUUCGAUGUUGUUGGGGGAAAGCAUCAAUUACAUUUUCUCAUGGGGUUUGCUGCCUUCUCCGUGUGUGUGACUGGCAGCUGUAUUUUGCCCUGGUUUGCAUCCAC
rnacentral:lncRNA from 1 species